rnacentral:tRNA from 2 species
GGUCUUGUGGUGUAAUGGUUAACACUGCAUUGAACAAUCCAUUUGUAUUGACAAGCUAUUUGUAUUCCGAGUUCGAAUCUCGGCAAGACCG